rnacentral:snRNA from 1 species
GCAUUCACUUGGCAGUUCACUCACUAAAAUUUGAACCAUGUAGAGAUUAGAAUGGUUCCCAUGCUAAGAUGUCAUGCAAAUUUGUGGCACCUUCCAUAUUUUU